CAGCAGCCGCCGCGGUAACACAGAGGGUGCGAGCGUUAAUCGGAUUUACUGGGCGUAAAGCGUGCGUAGGCGGCUUUUUAAGUCGGAUGUGAAAUCCCUGAGCUUAACUUAGGAAUUGCAUUCGAUACUGGGAAGCUAGAGUAUGGGAGAGGAUGGUAGAAUUCCAGGUGUAGCGGUGAAAUGCGUAGAGAUCUGGAGGAAUACCGAUGGCGAAGGCAGCCAUCUGGCCUAAUACUGACGCUGAGGUACGAAAGCAUGGGGAGCAAACAGGAUUAGAUACCCGUGUAGUCCCUGUCUCUUAUAC
rnacentral:rRNA from 1 species